rnacentral:ribozyme from 1 species
UGCCCAGCAACUGCUAUCCCUACCUCCUCGCGGUACCGGCCGGAAACUAUGAGCAACCUUAGGGAAGA